UGGGGAAUUUUGCACAAUGGGGGAAACCCUGAUGCAGCGACGCCGCGUGAUUUAGAAGGCCUUCGGGUUGUAAAAAUCUUUUCUAUGGGAAGAAAAUGACAGUACCAUAGGAAUAAGGACCGGCUAAUUACGUGCCAGCAGCCGCGGUAAUACGUAAGGUCCGAGCUUUGUCCGGAAUCAUUGGGCGUAAAGGGUACGUAGGCGGGUAAGCAAGUUAGAAGUGAAAUCCUAUAGCUCAACUAUAGUAAGCUUUUAAAACUGCUCAUCUUGAGGUAUGGAAGGGAAAGUGGAAUUCCUAGUGUAGCGGUGAAAUGCGCAGAUAUUAGGAGGAAUACCGGUGGCGAAGGCGACUUUCUGGCCAUAACCUGACGCUGAGGUACGAAAGCGUGGGUAGCAAACAGG
rnacentral:rRNA from 1 species